AACAGUAAGCCACGGCUAACUCUGUGCCAGCAGCCGCGGUAAUACAGAGGUGGCAAGCGUUGUUCGGAUUUACUGGGCGUAAAGGGUGCGUAGGCGGUUGCGUGUGUCGGAUGUGAAAUCUCACUGUUCAUCGGUGAAACUGCAUUCGAAACUACGUAACUCGAGUACUGGAGAGGAGAGCGGAAUUCUUGGUGUAGCGGUGAAAUGCGUUGAGAUCAAGAAGAACGCCGGUGGCGAAGGCGGCUCUCUGGACAGAAACUGACGCUGAGGCACGAAAGCUAGGGGAGCAAACAGGAUUAGAUACCCUGGUAGUCCUAGCCGUAAACGUUGUGCACUUGGUGUGGGAGGAGUUUACCCCUUCCGUGCCGUAGCUAACGUGUUAAGUGCACCGCCUGGGGAGUACGGCCGCAAGGCUAAAACUCAAAGAAAUUGACGGGGGCCCGCACAAGCGGUGGAGCAUGUGGCUUAAUUCGAUGCAACGCGAAGAACCUUACCUGGGCUUGACAUGGCGAGACUUCGGUCUAAACCGGUGAAAGUCGGUUGAACGCACACAGGUGCUGCAUGGCUGUCGUCAGCUCGUGCCGUGAGGUGUUGGGUUAAGUCCCGCAACGAGCGCAACCCUUGUGGGUAGUUGCCACCCCCGUUCUGCGGGGAGCACUCUACUCAGACUGCCCGUGACAAGCGGGAGGAAGGUGGGGAUGACGUCAAGUCCGUAUGGCCCUUAUGCCCAGGGCUGCACACGUGCUACAAUGGUCGGUACAGAAAGAUGCAAGACCGCGAGGUGGAGCAAAUCUCCAAAACCGGCCCCAGUUCGGAUUGCAGUCUGCAACUCGACUGCAUGAAGCCGGAAUCGCU
rnacentral:rRNA from 1 species